UGCUCAGCUAUGUAGCUAGCACACAGACACAGAUGGGGGGCUGCUAGUAGCACGUUUUCCCUGCCUAAUUUUACCCUGCAGGGUUUGUAUGUAGGACCUGCUUUUCACAGGCCUCUCUGUAUAGGGCUUGACAUUAAUGCUAGUCCGCUUGUCUGGGACGAGUAAAAAAAAUCAAAUAAUUGUCAGACAAGCAGAAUAUAUAUUGAAAUUGUCUGAAUAGAAGUAAAAAUAUCACACAACAAUCACAAUAUCAAACAAGGCAACAGUAAACAUGUCAUCCCCCACAAAUGAUGCUGCACCCCUCCUUGGGCCAAUUGAGAUAUUGUGUGUGACUAACAGAUUUCAGUUCAUUACUAUUGCUCCCACCUUGGGCCAGUCAGUGUAGUUUUGUAAAUGCCAGAUCUUUAUGGUAUGACGCAUCAUUCACCCAAGUUUCGUCAAAAUCGUCCCCUUGCUUUGUGAAAUAUCGCAUGUGACUAACGUACGAACGAACAGACGAUUUCAUCAUGGGGGACAACAAUUAUUCAGAUAAGAAUUGGAUCAAAGUGUCCUCUGGAUUCGAUGUGUUACGCACUGUAUCUGUUCUCCCAAUCUGUGCAGAGCACAUCGGAGUAAAAUGAUCAUUGGUAAUGUGUGUGUGCAGAGAAUGAGAGACAUUGCAGCAGCAGGUAGCCUAUAAAAUGAUAAACAAACAGACUAGAUAGCCAAAUCAAAAUAUACAGUGCAUUUGGAAAGUAUUUAAACCCUAAUUUUAAAAUGUAUUAAAUUAUUUAUUUUACUUAUCAAUCUACACAAAAUACCCCAUAAUGGCAAAGUGAAAACAAGUUUUUAGAACAUUUUGCAAAUUUAUUAAGAAUUUAAAAUAAGGUUCUUGGUCUCUUCCCUGACCAAGGCCCUUUUCCCCCAAUUUUUCAGUUUGGAAGAGUCUUGGUGGUUCCAAACUUCUCCCAUUUAAGAAUGAUGAAGGCCACUGUGUUCUUGGGGACCUUCAAUGCUACAGACAUUUUUUUCUGCCCUUCCCCUGAUCUGUGCCUCAACACAAUCCUGUCCAGUUCUACGGACAAUUCCUUCCACCUCAUGGCUUAGUUUUUGCUCUGACAUCCAUUGUCAACUGUGGGACAUUAUAUAGACAGGUGUGUGCCUUUCCAAAUCAUGUCCAAUCUAUUGAAUUUACCACAGGUGGACUUCAAUCAAGUUGCAGAAACAUCUCAAGGAUGAUCAACGGAAACAGGAUGCACCUGAGCUCAAUUUUGUCUCUCAUAGCAAAGGGGCUAAAUACUUAUGUAAAAAAUAUGAGCAUUACUCCUUUGCCAAGAUAGUCCAUCCAGCUGACAGGUGUGGCAUUUCAAGAAGCUGAUUAAACAGCAUGAUCAUUACACAGGUGCUGGGGACAAUAAAAAGCCACUCUAAAAUGUGGAGUUUAUCACACAACACAAUGCCACAGAUGUCUCAAGUUUUGAGGGAGCGUGCAAUUGGCAUGCUGACUGCAGAAAUGUCUAUCAGAGCUGUUGCCAGAUAAUUUCAUGUUAAUUUCUCUACCAACGUCUUUUUAGACAUUUUGGCCGUACAUCCAACCGGCCUUACAACCGCAGAUCAUGUGUAACCAUGCCAGCCAAGGACCUCCACAUCUGGCUUUUUCACCUGUGGGAUCAUCUGGGAACCGCCACUCUGACAGCUGAUGAAACUGUGGGUUUGCACAACCAAAGAAUUUCUGCACAAACUGUCAGAAACCGUCUCAGUGAAGCUCAUCCGCCUGCACGUCGUCCUCACCUGGGUCUUGACCUGACUUCAGUUUGGCUUCAUAACCGACUUCAGUGGGCAAAUGCUGACCUUUGAUGGCCACUGGCACGCUGGAAAAGUGUUCUCUUCACGGAUGAAUCCCGGUUUUAACUGUACCGUGUAGAUGGCAGACAUGUGGGCGAGUGGUUUGCUUAUGUCAACGUUGUGAACAGAGUGCCCCAUGGUGGCAGUGGGGUUAUGGUAUGGGCAGGCAUAGGCUACGGACAACACCAUUGCAUUUAAUCGAUGGCAUUUUGAAUGGACAGAGAUACCAUGACGAGAUCCAGAGGUCCAUCGUGCCAUUCAUCCGCCGCCAUCACCUCAUGUUUCGGCAUGAUAAUGCACGGCCUCAUGUCGCAUGGAUCUGUACACAAUUCCUGGAAGCUGAAAAUGUCCCAGCUUCCAUGGCCUACAUACUCACCAGACAUUACACACAUUGAGCAUGUUUGGGAUGCUCUGUAUCGACGUGUACGUUUCCACCAAUAUCCAGCAACUUUGCACAGCCAUUGAGUAGGAGUGGAACAACAUUCCACAGGCCACAAUCAACACCCUGAUCAACUGUAUGCGAAGGAGAUGUCGCACUGCAUGAGGCAAAAGGGGAUCACACUAAAUACUGACUGGUUUUCUGACCCAUCCUCCUAGCUUUUUUUUAAAGGAAUCUGUGACCAACAAAUGCAUAUCUGUAUUUCCAGUCAUGUGAAAUCCAUAGAUUAGGGCCUGAUUUCCUUAUAUCAACUGUAACUCAGUAGAAUCUUUGAAAUGGUUGAAUGUUGUGUUUAUAUUUUUGUUCAGUGUACGUAUAUUUAUAUUAUUAUAUCGUUGUUGUUUGAUGAAAACCUCUUAACUUUAAUUUUUUUUACAAGAAUUUAUGCUUUUGGUUCCCCUUUAUGUCUGUCUCUAUGAACGUUUCGAGACCCCUGGACCAAUGAAAUGUAUUCAAAAUAGCUUUUCAUCAAAACUCUUCAGUUCAUUGGCUCUCAAAGUUGUCCGUCAAACCCUGUAUCUCCACCAUGGCUCUUGAAGUGAAGCACACGGUUUCACCCUGAGGAUAUUUUUGCUCGGGGGUUCUUAGUGAGAUGCAAUCAGAGCUUGUAGUGGCACAUCCGAGGGGGAGGAGAAUGGCCAGCCAAGAAAAGAAAAUACCCUUCAAAGUGGAAAGGAGAAUUGAGGGUAAAUCCUAUCUUGGCAUCAAAAAGAUGAUUGAGUUGACUAUGGCAAUGUUUGAUUUAUUACUUACAUGGUUCUUACCUGAAUACCUACCUUGAUGUUUCAUUUCAUGCUGAAAUGUGUCUGAUUUGCAUACAAGUAACAUGAUCGAUAGUGACAUUUUAAAUGUUGAUUGUUGUUUUGAACACUAACCUGAUCCUCCUUGAUAUUUCAUUCUGAGUGAAAAAUGAAACAUCGCAUUUGGUGUAAAUCUUUUUAGUACGCGUUCACCUUCACAUGUACUUGAAAUUAUAUUGUGAAAUGCAUUUUUAUUAAUGGCAUUAAAAUUGUACCAUUAUUACAA